GUUCGUGUAAUUUCAGAGUAGCACAAGCAAAUAAUCUUUUCAUUGGAAAACUUGUUUGCUAUUUAUUACUCCUGCCUCCUUUUGCUAGCAACAGCUGCAAAGCUUGUGCUUUUAGGAAACUUACUGUAUUCCUGAUGUCUAGUUGAGAGCAAAAUGUUAUUUCUUCCUCACUAGCCUAUUGUGUGGCAAUAACAAAUGUUGUCUAUGCUAUAACAAAUUGCAUGGCCUAGUCUGGUUAUUAACAUGGGUUGCAUAUGCAGGU
rnacentral:misc_RNA from 1 species